GACGUAGGGCGCGAGCGUUGUCCGGAUUUAUUGGGCGUAAAGAGCUCGUAGGCGGCUUGUUGCGUCGACCGUGAAAACCCGGGGCUCAACUUCGGGCUUGCGGUCGAUACGGGCGGGCUAGAGUUCGGUAGGGGAGACUGGAAUUCCUGGUGUAGCGGUGAAAUGCGCAGAUAUCAGGAGGAACACCGGUGGCGAAGGCGGGUCUCUGGGCCGAUACUGACGCUGAGGCACGAAAGCCAGGGUAGCAAACGGG
rnacentral:rRNA from 1 species